AUGCACAGCGUGGAGUUGCAUCUGUCAGAGUUCCUGAAGAGCUGCAGUUACUUGCCUUGCACUGUUGUGACCCUCAGGGCAGAGCAGAUGGUUUGGAGAAGGAAUGGGCUGCCCUUCUUCAGGACUGGAGCCCCUGCUAACAAGGGAGCACACUUCAGCCUCCUGCAGCAGAGACUGCCCUGUGCACAGUGUCCUCUCCCAGAUUUCACUGCGAAGGUGAGCUUCUUCAGUCUCUCCAGCACUACAAAAGGGCUGAGAAGCCAGUUUAAUCGGCCUCCAGAGAAUUUCUAAGCCUGGCAGAGCAGUUAGAGCCAAUUGGGUUCCACCUUUCUUGCCCCUGUGUAGUGACUAGGGCUGAGGAAAAGGGACCCUGGGUGUUUUUCACUGUGCGGCAGCAAUCGCUGACUGAGGGCGCACAUGUUUAUGCGCAGGCUGCUGAGACAUCAGCUCACCUGGCAGCUGCUCUGAGUUGCACAGGGAAGCCAGCGGGCUGCUUUCACAGUGGGGAAAGGUGAUAUUCAGAGGCAGGGACUUGAGAUCACCUCCUUCUGGGGUCACCCAACUACUGAACUCUGCAGAAGCUGGA
rnacentral:lncRNA from 1 species